UACUCAAGAUGGGUUGGGCAGAAAUGCUCCUGUACAUAGCAUACAUGGUUCUUUACUUGCAGUUGGGGAGCUCUUGAGGAAUACUGGUGAGCUCAUGAUGUCAUGGUAUAGAGAAGUUGCUGAAAUUGUACUCUGGUACUUAUAGCACCGGGAUCAGCUUGUUCGCCUUAGUAUAACUUCCCUGCUACCUCGAUUGCUCAUUUCUUGUGCGACCAAUUUGUUACAAACUAUUUAAAGAUAUGCAUGAAUCACAUUCUCACAGUUCUACGAGUUCCAGCUGAACAUGACAUUGGAUUCAUUGCUCUUGGGGAGAUGGCUAGUGCUUUGGGAGGGGAACUCAUCCACUAUUUGCCAACAAUUACAUCUCACUUACGUGAAGCAGUAAGACGUAAAGGAUUUUGGCUGAAAUAAGUCUUGUGCCAUCAAUUUAGUUCUCUUUUGUUUCAUUUUCCUUGUCACUACAAUUUCUUUGAGUUAUGCUGUUUUCAUUUGAUAGGCAACAAGACUUCUAAUCAAUGGCAUAUUUAUGAUAUCUAGAUUUCUCCACGCAGAGGCAACCCCUGCUUGAGGCUUUGGCUUGUGUUGGAAAUAUUACAAAAGCAGUGGGUCUUGUAAUGGAAGUUCCUCUUGUGGAUGGUCUCUUGGAUGUAAGUCUUUCCAGUAUGCUUGUUGAUGCCCUUGAACAAAUUACUGUCAAGUACACUGAGGCAUUCUAGUAUAUUUUCUUUACA